GAGGGGUAAUCCUGGAAUAAAAGAAAAGUUUUAAUCUAUCAGGGUUUUUGUAGAACUACGACGGAGCUCCUCCGCCAGAGACUCCCGCAUCGCCGCCGGAGCUCGGUAUCUCCAUCACAACAACAAUCAUAGCAAUGAUAAUCAUAAUGCUAUGAACAACGGAGUGUUUUCGCACCGAUCAAGUAUGCCGUUGAUAAAAAACAACUCAAUUGAGAAUUCUAAAGCAACAAUAAUACGAAUGUUUUCUCUCGUUAUCGCACGAGUCUUCCGGCUACAUCAUCCGACGAAUCUUACCGUGAGCUUUAAAUCAAUCUUCUGAAGUCAAAAAACUCUAGGUUGGUAAUCUGAAAUAAAUGGUCUCAUCAACCGCGGCACUCAUUCAUCCUAUUGAUAGACAUAAACUGUCUUCAAGCUGAUUUCAUCUAUUUUUAUGUCUGCAACUGAAGAUGUGGUCUGUAGCUCUUCAAGCUGAAAAUAUAAGACUGUUUGUUUAUAAAUUGAUACUGUCUGUACAAACUACAUGAACUUUGUUUUAUUUUCCAAAUCAAAAAUCCUAAACCAUUUAC